AGUCUUCUGCGGAAGUGGGGAGGGGAAUACACUUCAGCUUUAGCUCACAGUCCGAGAGCUGCCAAGACUCAGGAACAGGGAAAGGGUGUUGAUGAAGAGACACUAUGUGUUUGGUGAAGAAAGGCCCCAGUGCAUGACUGUGUGACUCAGGGGAAGCCCGUGGACACAGCCUGAGCAGCCCUUCGGAAAAGCCCACAUGCUGAGCAACUCGAGGCCUCACACCAAUGGCCAGUGGAGACCCGAAGCAGCCUUGGCAACGGCCAGUCGUGGUGAGUAAACCGCGUCAACACAGAUCCUCAGUCGAGCCUUCAGAGCGCCACCGUCCAGGUGGACAGCAUUUCCAAGCUCACGAGAGACAAUGAACCCGGACAACUCAGGAAUGACAAGUACAACCCCAUUAAAAGAUGAGUUGGGUUUCGCUGACAAUGCCAGGAAGGGUGUCCCAGAUGGAGGGGACAGUAGACACAGAGGCACAGGACCAUGGCACUCCUGGAUGGAUCUGCACACAGGAUGGCUGGUGUGGCAAGCUUUGGUUGGAGGCGACUAGAGAGGUGAGUGGGCUGGGAGAGGCUGGGAAGGGCCUU